UCGGGGGUGGUGUAAUUGGCAACACGCCAGGUUUUGGUCCUGGUCUUCGGGGUUCGAGUCCCUGCCCCCGAG
rnacentral:tRNA from 2 species